GUCUCAGUCGCCGCUGCCAGCUCUCGCACUCUGUUCUUCCGCCGCUCCGCCGUCGCGUUUCUCUGCCGGGUAUUAACGUGUCAGGGCUGAGUGUUCUGGGAUUUCUCUAGAGGCUGGCAAGAACCAGUUGUUUUGUCUUGCGGGUCUGUCAGGGUUGGAAAGUCCAAGCCGUAGGACCCAGUUUCCUUUCUUAGCUGAUGUCUUUGGCCAGAACACCGUGGGCUGUUACUUGCUUUGAGUUGGAAGCGGUUUGCAUUUACGCCUGUAAAUGUAUUCAUUCUUAAUUUAUGUAAGGUUUUUUUUGUACGCAAUUCUCGAUUCUUUGAAGAGAUGACAACAAAUUUUGGUUUUCUACUGUUAUGUGAGAACAUUAGGCCCCAGCAACACGUCAUUGUGUAAGGAAAAAUAAAAGUGCUGCCGUAACC
rnacentral:lncRNA from 1 species